CGCACCUUAACUCUCUCUCGCUCACACUCUCGCUCUCGCCUGCUCUCGGAACUCUCAUUUUUGUCCCCCGGAGGAGCGUAGAAGAUCAAUUCAGGUUUUUUUUGCCUCUCUGGUUUGCUCUCUAACUUACUUUUUUUUUUUUUUUUUUUUUUUUUAAAUUGUUUCAAUUUAAGGCUUUGUGCUGUUCUUAUCUGAGGGUUCUAUACAUGGGGAAAGAAAAUCUGUUUACAGCUAAGGGCAAAGAGCUUACUGUUCUUGCAUCUGGGGGAUUGCCCCCUUUAAAAUCUCCAAUACAAAAUAGUCCUAAACAAACCUUAGGGUCAUACUUGGACAAUAACAACCACAAUUCUCCAAGCAUUCAGCAAGAGGAGGGCUGUGCUUCAGGAUGUCGUCAAUGUUCGCAGCAAAUGCUCAUAUCUAAGGCCCUGGAAUGCUUCAAAAAUUGAGGAGAUUUCUUCGAGCAGCACAAGCUUCUUACAAGGACCCUAGUCUUGAACUGGAGUACUUGGCCAACUAUCUAGCUGAACUAACGUUAAUUGACUAUGGCUUCUUGAAUUUCCUUCCUUCUGCCAUAGCUGCAUCUGUUGUGUUUCUUGCCAGAUGGACCUUAGAUCAGUCGAAUCAUCCAUGGGUUCACAUUUUUUCUGUUCUUCAUUUGUUUACUUUUUGUGUACUAAAAUAUACACCAGAAAUAUGACUUCAUUUCCAACUCUAGAACACUAUUCCUCCUGCAAGACAUCAGAGUUGAAAACCAUAGUUCUUGCCAUACAAGAUUUACAGCUGAAAACCAAUGGGUUUCAUCCGAGUGCUAUGCGCAUGAAGUCCAGGCAAGAGAAGUUUAAAUCUGUGGCGGAUUCGUCUUCCCCAAAACUGCUUGAAACACUGUUCUGAAGAUAAAAUGGCUGUUGGAUGUUCACUGCUAACAAAUAGGUAUACUUUCCAGAUAUAGAAAGUGUCAUCUGGAGGUUCUAACUGAUGUCUAUUCUUAAUCCUCUCUCAUCUACAUAUCAUUUCUGCCAAUUUUUUGUGAGUUGGGUUCUUUCAAAUCUGCCUGUAAAUUUAAAGUAGCACGUCAUCAGAAUUAAUUUGCUUCAUUGUAAUUUGUAAAUUUUUGAUACACAGGAACCAGGUGACUGCCAACUAUGGCAGCCAAAGCCUCAGUUUUGAUCAA